CAAUUCUCAGUUACCUUAUCACGUGUUGCUAAAGUUCAAUACAUUUAGUGAACUUUGGCACAACGCUGAUUAGGUGACUGAUUAUUU
rnacentral:pre_miRNA from 13 species